rnacentral:rRNA from 1 species
ACGAACGCUGGCGGCGUGCUUCACCCAUGCCCGUCGAACGGAAAGGCCCUGCUUUUGUGGGGUGCUCGAGUGGCGAACGGGUGAGUAACACGUGAGUAACCUGCCCUUGACUUUGGGAUAACUUCAGGAAACUGGGGCUAAUACCGGAUAGGAGCUCCUGCUGCAUGGUGGGGGUUGGAAAGUUUCGGCGGUUGGGGAUGGACUCGCGGCUUAUCAGCUUGUUGGUGGGGUAGUGGCUUACCAAGGCUUUGACGGGUAGCCGGCCUGAGAGGGUGACCGGCCACAUUGGGACUGAGAUACGGCCCAGACUCCUACGGGAGGCAGCAGUGGGGAAUAUUGCACAAUGGGCGGAAGCCUGAUGCAGCAACGCCGCGUGCGGGAUGACGGCCUUCGGGUUGUAAACCGCUUUCGCCUGUGACGAAGCGUGAGUGACGGUAAUGGGUAAAGAAGCACCGGCUAACUACGUG